rnacentral:lncRNA from 1 species
CGACACCUUGUAGAGGUAUAGAUUCCCCAUAAGCUUCAAAUUUCAUAGUUCACUGCAGCUUUCUUUUAACACAGUCCACAAGUAAAUAUCACAAUUCACUAGCAUACCUCAGAAGAUCCAAUGACGGUGAAACAGACAAUCAAGAUCUGCACGAAGGUAGAGUGAUGCCUCCACAACAAGCAGCAAUUAUUAUGUACAACAGUAGAACAAUCACACAUGUCAACAGGGCCCUGUCAAGUAAAUAUAGAAUUUGCACUCACUUAAUAUGUCAUCAAGCUAUCAAGCUAACAGUUUUAAACCAUUUGAAUUUUGAAUUAAGCCUCUACAAUUCCUAUGCGAAGGUCUUGGGUUGUAUUGUCCCACCUAAAUUAACUAGCACCUAUUCAUGAUAAUUCUUGCACUAGAAUCGGUUCAAGUGAUGUGCUUAAAAUAAAUUCUGAAGUGACAUAAUUGAUUUGAAUGCUAUUAAGAGGAAAAUCUGAAAAGUAAAAUAAAUGUCUUUGCUUUCAUAUUUUACCCUCACUUAUAACGAGAUGUUUAAAUUACAUAGAGUGUCGAUUUCUAAUAAUACACCAACUAAAUGAAAUAAAUUCUCCCAAAAUUAUGCCACUUUUGGCAUGAUUCUAUUUCUCCCUAAAAGGGCUAUUUUAAAUUGAAGGAUUGAUCCAAGCAAUUAUGCACUUUCCGAAGAUGAAAAUUCACCGAUGGAAUUCUUUAGGUUUCCAAAUGCAUACCCAUAUGGAAGAGAAAGAAAGUGGGUGGAUCCCCAACAAACUAGAUAGAGGUGCAAUGAAUUCUAUCAUAUAUUGAAACAGCCAGUGGUUAGAUCUUUGAAUUCCAAUUUGGAGGCAUAAAUUCAAAUAAUUGAAGUGAUAUUGGGUGUAUGGUGUAGAACAAGGCAUUCCAGACAUAUCAGAAACCAUAUUUUUCAAUUGUCGUAUAAGCUAUACUUAUUUUGGUAUCCAAUCCUUAUGGACUAACCAGAAGAGUACAAUCUGUAAGUCCAGAACACAGUAGAAAGUUUGCACAUACCAAUAUUUUUUCAUAGCUUACAAGAACACCAAAAAUCUGACAUUUGAUUUUGAUGCUCCAACAGUUAAAGACACACUGAGAAAUCCAAAUCAAGCACCUUCUGUAUUAUUAACAAAUUAACAUUUUUGACAUAUCAGAAUUUUCACAUAAAAGGUAAAGUUGAUAAAAUGCAGUCAUGAAGUAUAUGCUCCUUUUAUGCUGUGCAUCAUGCGACUUCCAACUUUUUCUUGCUUGCUAAUUUUUUAAGAAUAUUUUCCUAAACUAUCAUUGUUUGGGAGUCAAUAUUUCUGCCAGCUGAACAGGAAAAAAGGCCAGCUUUGACAGUUCAAGAAAGGCCUUACUGGGUGAUCAAAAUUAAUUAUUCCUCAUGUGAUGUCAGAUUUCCUUUUCUUUCUCUAUGAGUAUAUCUCUUGCAUAGUACUGAAUCUAAGCAACAUAGUUAGAGUUUUCACACAUUGUCCAGCAUCUUUCAAUCAGAGACCAUCAGUUAUAGAGCAGAGGAUAAGCAGAAGGGGAGAAGCAGGGUAUUUCGGUGGGUUAGUGCCUCAGCAUCCUCAACAAAACCAAACUGAAAGCAGUACUAGAAACGAUGAGCACUUACAGGAGCUUGGCAUUUUUCAUCCAAAGUGCUCUUCUGAGGCGCUUAGAUUGCUUCCUGAAGUGAAAUGCACUGUCUUGCAUUGUUGCAGUUUUGUCAACAAGAAGCUCAAUGCGAUCACCUCUCUCGAGUAUCUUCUCAAUGUUUUCUACCAUAAUUGUACGGAUCUACAAAAAACUUUCCACUGCUUGUAAGCACAAGAAAACAAGAUACAACCACACAACAGCUAUUAAUCAUUGACAGAUAAAGCAUGAUGAAACAUCAAAGAGAUGUUUGGAAGACUGAAACUGAACAAUUUGAAAGGUUUGAGCAUAUAAACCAAGAUGCUUCCAUAGCAAAUUAGAUGCUAAAUGUUUCAUAGUAAAUUAGAUAGUAAAUGGAUAAUGUGAUAAAUGCUCUUGCUUCAUGCUCACUGGUAAGAGCCCUAUUUAAUGAAUCUUAGGCCUCUUUCAAGACAUCUGACAUGAUGUUGAUAUGCAUCACAUUCACAGAAGAUGUGAAAACAGCAUGACUUGCAUUGCAUGCCAAAACUGACAUCAAAUAGUGCAGUACUGAGAAGUGCACAUGCUCCCACAAUAUCAGUUACAUGAUUUAUUGACAUACAAAAUAAUGUGAUAUUUUAUUGCAACAAUGCAUAAAAACAUCCUCUCCAUCUCUCUCUUGCAUGCAAGCAUGCACAAGUUGUUGCCUCUAGGACGUAGAAAAACAUAUCGUAAAUAAAUCCAAAAGUCUAGUGACUUUUUUCUUAUGGCAUUUUCAAAGAGCAAAUACUCCAUGAAUAAAGGGAAAUGACAAUUUCAAGAACCGAACCAUAUGCAAAAGAAGAUGAAAAAUAAACAAUAAAUGAGAAAGCAAGAAAUUUUCCAAGGACAACAGAGGUACUUGCCUCACCAACUUCACCCCUUACACGACUGAGAGUAUCAGCACUUGGGUUACUAGAGAAAAAUUCCAUUUGCUGAUGCAAGACCCUCGAAAACUCAUCAUUCAUUGCAUAUGCAGGUGCAUAGUGGGCCACUCUACCAUAGUUUUUCAUGAACCUCAUAUGAAUGUCCUCCAAGUAUGAAAAUGGAAUUCUCCCUAAAUCGAGGCACCAAAUAACACAUUAAAUAUCAGAAAAGAACAAGCAAAAUGAUGAAAUUCAUCCAUUCAGACUGCUGAAAUUCACAAUUUGGCAAAGGCUCCUACACAGUAAGCAAAAUUUACUAAAUAUUACAGUCUGCAUUUAGAAUAUUACAGUUGAGCAAGAUGUUCAUGAAAAAUUAAUUAAUUUACUUCCAAUCUCUUGCUUGCCAUGCUGUAAACAAUUUGUAAUGUCUGAAUAACCAGUUCAAAAACUUUUUUUUUCUACAUGUGUUAUGACUUAUCUAUCAAAGUUAUGCAUUACUGCAUCACCAUAUGCCUUCAAAGAUCCAACAUACAGAUGCAGGUAGUAGACAUUCCAGCGCCACACCAUGAUGGCCCAGUCCAUCAUAGGAAACAAAUGACUUUGAUACCCAUUAUAUUAAUGGGGCAACAUGUGAUUAAUGGGCCAAAAGUAACAAGGUGAUACUUUACCAUAGAAGCAUCAAUUUAAUAACAAAGCAUUACUAAAAAAGAAAAGAAAAAGGUAAAAAAGAACUAAUAAUACCAGAAAGCUACAUAACUACAUAGCAAUUCUUUAGUGAAACUGCCAACAGUUUACAACAAUAGAUAACACUACGGUGCACCAAAUUGACUGAAGAACAAAGAAAAGAAAAGAAUUCAGAUUUCAUUUAGAGGAAGAAAAACUAUAUAUAAGGGACUAACUUUAACACCUGAGUGAAGCUUUAAUUGCUGUUCUGUCUUCAACUCAUCAGGAGGAGGUUCUUAGCUGAUAUUUUCAGUUGGAACCUCUGCCUGUCAAGUGGAGUUAAAAAAUUUAAACACAAAAUGAAGAUGCAGCAAAAACUUCAAUCUGAGGAAAUGAAAAACCCAAGGCAAGACCCAAGCUACUUUCAAUUUAAAUCAAUAAAUAAUAAAAAGUAAUUCGAAUAACCAUAUCCAAAAUCUUACUUCUACCAGCCAUAAACUUGAAAAAUCAGGAAAAACUGAUAAAACUUGAAAAAUCAGAAUAAAUUGACAAAACAAGCUUCACCACGUAACUCAAAUAACUCCAUCAAUUCAGUCAAAUUAACCAGAGACCGAUCAAAUUGAAGAGAAAGGGAGAGUUACGCACUGCCGAAGUUGUCGUUAGCCAUACAGAGAAAAGUGAGGCCAUCGGAUCUGAGAAUGUGAAAUAUGUAGCGACCUUGCGAAAAGCACAAUCUAGAAUCAGCCUCAGAUGGAAGCUUCUCGAGUAUCCGUCUGGCCACAGACCCUGUGUUUCCCGUCAC